AAAAAAGUCAUAGAUGUAAACUCAGAAUUGUCAUGUAUAUAAACUUGGAAUUGAGAAAUCAAGUCAGAAUUGUGUGAUUUUAAAAAGUCGCAAUUUUCCUUUUUACAUUUUUUUUUUUUAUUUAAUGGCAGAAACAGGCUUCCAUGCAAGUAUCUUAUCACUUUGUUCACUUUAAUAUUCACAGCUCAGCGAGUGUUGAUUGAUAUUCGCACCAGUGUCAGGUGGCGUGUCAGAACGCCAUGAUAUCAUGAUGGAUAAGCAAGUGUUUAUGUCGGAGGGCUCAGGAAGAUUUUUAAAAGCAAACAGUCCAGAUGAUGGAAAAACACUGUUCUUUUAAACUACCCAUCGGCUUCGAGUCGUCUAGCAACGCACAAAAUGUAACGGCUGAGGCUUUGAGGAACCUUUCGUGAGGUGUUGGAAGUCUGGGAGAAACAUUUAUGAUAUAUCCAUUUAAGCUUUAGUCCAACCCUUUGCCUUAAAAGUCAGAGAUUUGUCUAUGAAACCACUUUUAUAAGCAUUAGUUUAAGCUCUGUACAGACAGAAAGACAUAUACGAAUGCAAGUGUUCAGGUUAUGAAAGUGUUCGAGGCGUUUGAAAUGAAAGAUUGCUGUACCUCAUCCGCCAAAACCUCCUUUUUAAUGGUAGACUAGUGAGAAUUGAACAACAGGUUCACACAUUUCAUCCUAGCUAUGUUGAGACGUCUAAAUGACAUUCUGUACACACAAAGCAAGCCGAUACAGAAGAAUUGAUUUCCUUCCUUAUUGGCUCAUCACAUGCCCAAAUCCAGUUAUUAAUGCACAUUAUUUCACAUGCAAAAUACCUAAAACACACCCAAUAAUUGGCAUGUUUUGCAAAUAUGUGUAAAUUUGACUUGUCUUUUUUUGGUUUUUGCCCUAUUUGAUUUAUUUUGUAAACAUGGCUUCGGAAAGAUGUUUAUGAAUAUGUGGGAUGAUUUGAUUGUUGCACCUAAUAAUCCGCAGCCUGAAGGUCAAGAUUUAUUUAAAUAAAUGCUAAGAAACCGAAAGGCCACUGCACAUGCUGUUACAGUACAGAUGUACAUAAUAGUGCCGUGGUGUACACGAAAGAUUUAAUUCUCUACAAUUAUGAGUGAUCUUUUUAUUGCCACAAAAGGAUAAGAAAAUAAAGACUAUUGAACACA